UGGGGAAUAUUGACAAUGGGCGAAAGCCUGAUGCACCCAUGCCGCGUGUGUGAAGAAGGCCUUCGGGUUGUAAAGCACUUUCAGYKGKGAGGAAAGGKWUGUAGUUAAUAGCUGCUUUCUGUGACGUUACCCRCMGAAGAAGCACCGGCUAACUUCGUGCCAGCAGCCGCGGUAAUAAUA
rnacentral:rRNA from 1 species